AUUGAACGCUGGCGGCAUGCUUUACACAUGCAAGUCGAACGGCAGCGCGGACUUCGGUCUGGCGGCGAGUGGCGAACGGGUGAGUAAUAUAUCGGAACGUACCCAGGGGUGGGGGAUAACGUAGCGAAAGUUACGCUAAUACCGCAUACGCUCUAUGGAGGAAAGCAGGGGAUCGCAAGACCUUGCGCGCUUGGAGCGGCCGAUAUCUGAUUAGCUAGUUGGUGGGGUAAAGGCUCACCAAGGCAACGAUCAGUAGCUGGUCUGAGAGGACGACCGGCCACACUGGGACUGAGACACGGCCCAGACUCCUACGGGAGGCAGCAGUGGGGAAUUUUGGACAAUGGGGGCAACCCUGAUCCAGCAAUGCCGCGUGAGUGAAGAAGGCCUUCGGGUUGUAAAGCUCUUUUGUCAGGGAAGAAACGGGCGUGGCUAAUAUCCAUGCCUAAUGACGGUACCUGAAGAAUAAGCACCGGCUAACUACGUGCCAGCCGCCGCCGUAA
rnacentral:rRNA from 1 species